rnacentral:lncRNA from 1 species
GACAGAAAUCAUAUAGUUAACAAAGCUAAAGACCCUUCAUAGGGUCCCAAUAUAGCCUCUCCAAGAGACAUUUCAUUUUAAUUUUUCCACUAUAGAUAACCACGAACUUUGCACCAGAUACUGACCUUGUCUCCGGAUGCAUUUCCAGAAUUGAAGGCAGGACUCACAUGAAAGGAAAGCAACCAAGAGCUGAGAUACCAGAGUGACUGCAAAGAAGAAAUGUUCCCUGCCUGGGAAAAGGAACCUCCUACUUGUCUUCGCUCCAGAGCCAUCUACACCUCACCAGAAAGCUCUGAAUGCAAAUCAGCUGCACCUGCACCUUCUGCUAUUAAGAUUGUUACCCAAGAGGAUUGAUCAGAGACGUUGAGAUAAAGAGUGAAGAUCUUGGGAAGUAAUGAAUUUAGCUAUUACUGAACACUAGAUCAAUACAGCAACGUCUAAGCAAUCUUAUCUCCUGUAAGUCAUCACUGCAAGAAAGCGUCUGCAAUGGCAGAUGCCAGAACAACAGUGGCCUCUUUCAUCAAGAAUUUUGCCAAAGGACUUGUACAAAACCCAUAUUUUGGCUCUCUAUACUAGGUAGGUACAGAAUGCAUGUA